GGGCUUGUAGUCUAACCUGGAUAGGACGGAAGCUUGCGGAGCUUUUGAUCUGGGUUCAAAUCCCAGCGAGCCCA
rnacentral:tRNA from 1 species